UCCUCCUCCUCCUCCUCUACGAAAAGCCUUGUUUUGGGAUUCGGAUUCAUGAUUGCUAUGAUGCUUCAUUUGUUCUAAGUGUUUAACUAGUAGAGAUAAAUUUGUUCUUUUACUUUUUUUUGUUCUAAGUGUUUAACUAGUAGAGAUAAAUUUGUUCUUUUACUUUUUUUUGUUUGAUUGUUGUAUAUGUUGCUUUUGUUUUGUGGUUUCGUAUGUGUAUUUCAGAAUUUACCAUUGUAUAUCGGACCAUAUAUAUCCUACUAUUUAUUGUAUAUUAUAUUAUUAUUUU
rnacentral:lncRNA from 1 species